GAUGAAGAACGUAGCGAAAUGCGAUAAGUAAUGUGAAUUGCAGAAUUUAGUGAAUCAUCGAAUCUUUGAACGCAUAUUGCGCCCGCCAGCACUCUGGCGGGCAUGCCUGUUCGAGCGUCAUUUCAACCCUCAGGCCUCGCGUCUGGCGUUGGGGCGCUGCGGCCCUCCCGCAGGCCCCCAAAUUUAGCGGCGGAUUCCCCGCGGCCCUGAGCGCAGUAGAGAGUAAAAACUUUAACGCUCCGGCGGCCGUGGCGCGGUUCUGCCUCUUUCCCAAUAGCGCCAAUAGCGCCACCCCCAAAAAAGUUGACCUCGGAUCAGGUAGGACUACCCGCUGAACUUAAGCAUAUCAAUAAGCGGAGA
rnacentral:misc_RNA from 1 species